rnacentral:rRNA from 1 species
GAUGAACGCUGGCGGCGUGCUUAAUACAUGCAAGUCGAACGAAGGACUCCUUGUAGCAAUACGGGGAGGCCUGAGUGGCGAAUGGGUGAGUAACACGUAGGUGACCUGCCCCGAAGUGUGGAAUAACAGCCCGAAAGGGCUGCUAAUACCGCAUACGGCCUCCGGAGUUAGAGGUCCGGAGUCCAAAGGCUGCGCAAGCGGCCGCUUUGGGAGGGGCCUGCGGUCCAUCAGCUAGCUGGUAGGGUAACGGCCUACCAGGGCGAUGACGGAUAGGGGGCCUGAGAGGGUGAUCCCCCACACUGGCACUGAAACACGGGCCAGACACCUGCGGGUGGCAGCAGUAGGGAAUAUUGCCCAAUGGACGAAAGUCUGAGGCAGCAACGCCGCGUGCGCGAUGGAAGG